rnacentral:rRNA from 1 species
GACGAACGCUGGCGGCGUGCCUAAUACAUGCAAGUUGAGCGAUGAAGAUUGGUGCUUGCACCAAUUUGAAGAGCAGCGAACGGGUGAGUAACGCGUGGGGAAUCUGCCUUUGAGCGGGGGACAACAUUUGGAAACGAAUGCUAAUACCGCAUAACAACUUUAAACAUAAGUUUUAAGUUUGAAAGAUGCAAUUGCAUCACUCAAAGAUGAUCCCGCGUUGUAUUAGCUAGUUGGUGAGGUAAAGGCUCACCAAGGCGAUGAUACAUAGCCGACCUGAGAGGGUGGUCGGCCACCUUGGGACUGGGACACGGCCCAAACUCCUACGGGAGGCAGCAGUAGGGAAUCUUCGGCAAUGGACGAAAGUCUGACCGAGCAACGCCGCGUGAGUGAAGAAGGUUUUCGGAUCGUAAAACUCUGUUGGUAGAGAAGAACGUUGGUGAGAGUGGAAAGCUCAUCAAGUGACGGUAACUACCCAGAAAGGGACGGCUAACUACGUG